rnacentral:misc_RNA from 1 species
CACGUUCAACAGGAAGUUGAUAGCACGGUCUAAUUUGCAGGGAAUCAAAUAUAGUACAGUUUUAGCGCGAGGAGAACGAAUGUUGCAUACGGUGCUGAUCAAGCACAACAAGAAUCAUGGACUCUAAUACUCAGUAUCAGUAUGGGAGUAUGGACACAGGGGAGACGGACAGUAAGAAACAGAAAAUGGAUGCUAAUACCUGGAGUACAGCUGGAUCUUAUCCUGUACCACCACCCUACCCUUACGCUACUCAGAACACCAACACCAACACCAACACCAACACCGGUUACACUGCUCCCACCACCACCAGCUGGAGCACAGGCUACGGAGGGGCACAGCAGCAAACGGGGGCUGAUUCCUAUGGCUGGGGCAGUUAUGCUGGCUAUGGACAAGGAUGGGGGACUGGACAAACAGGAACGAACAGUUGGACAGGGACGACUACUGGGCAGGACCAGAACACAGGUUAUGGGGUAGACCCGAACCAGUACAGUCAAUCCAGCUACAGCGGAGGAUGGGGACAAGGAUACAAUUAUAGCACUUCUACUGGCGUUGACUCCAAUUAUGGCUAUGGUGACAGCUCUAGCUAUUAUCGAGGAAAUUGGAGAGGAGGUCAGCAGAGUAAACCGACUGGAUACAGUCAGAGAGGCGGCUAUAGUCAAAAUCAGGGAUAUGGAACUAACUAUGGUCAAACAGCAAGUGGGGGUACAACCUUUGGAAAUAAUGAGACUGCCCCACCACAAACAGGAAAUGCAAAUAUUCAGAAGCCUUUUGGAAAUGGAAAUUCUGUUCAGGAACCCGCUCCUGCUGCACCAGUUCCUGCUGUAAGCCAAGUUACUGAAAAUGCACCAAGUCAGCAAGCAGCUGAAGACACAGCCCCAGUUUCAAAUGAAGGGAAAACCCUCCUGGGGACUCCAGCAACUAGACCAAACCAUGGCUACAGUGGUCCUGCUCCAGACAUGAUGGGGAUGCCGUUUGGCAAUCAGAAACACUUCCCAGGCAUGAGAGGAGGAUAUUUUGGGCAAGGUCCUUUCGGAGGAUUCCGAUUUGGAGAUGGGCCAAGACCACGUGGAGGUUUUGGUGGUGGCGGCGGUUUUGAUUGGUACAGGGGCAGAGGUGGAGGUCCUGGUCCUCAUAGGGGGAUGGGAAUGGGAAUGGGAAUGCAGAAGAGGAGAUGGGAACGUCCUCAUCCAUCAGAAAAGGAUAAAACUCCAAUACCUGAAAAACUUGAAAAAAUGAUCAAAUACAUCAAAUUGCAGAAUUCAAUCACUGUUGAUGUUAUUAAUUUCAUUGAUCAUUCUGUUGAGACUUGCAAACAUGGCCUGAGGAUAGACUACAGAAAUGAUGUGAAGGUGAGAGCAGAUGGAGGCGACAAGAUGUCAGGACGAUUGUACUUAAGUUCAGUCUUCCUUGCAAGAAGCAUUGGUUACAAGAAAAGGGAAGUGAAGGAGGACUGCUACCAGCAAGCUGUUGAAAUCCUCACAAACAAAACAGUGGAGGAAAUCAUGGCUUUAAAAGAUGUUGGUCCAGAGGCAACAGAAAAGCAAAUACUGGAAGAUUAUGAAAAGAAGAAAAUUGAGGUGCUGGCAGAAAGUAUGAAACUCAAUGAAGGUAUUACACUGAGGUCCCGUGAAGAGAAACUAUUAGAGCUGGUUGAAUAUCUGAAGAGUGGCAAAAAAUCUCCUCAUGAUGUUAUUGUUGAGUUGGACGAUGCAUUCAUAAACUCAGGGUGUGGACUCUCUCGCGAAUACAGUGAUGAAGAAGUUGCAUUGCCAGGUGGUGAAGUGUGGUAUCGAGGAAGGUUUAUCAUCAAUGACACCUUGAUUGCUGGGGCUUCCGGAAAAUCAAAAGAAAUUGCGAAGCAGAUUACGUACGAAAGAAGUAUGAACAUCUUGAGAAGAGUCCCACUUUUUGUCAUCCUGGAAGGUAGCACAUUGGAUGAACUUGAUCCCAAGCUUCCGUCUUCUCCAGCUUUUCAUGCACUUGGAAACAAUCAUAUUCCACUACCAGAUGAUAGAACUGAAGAGAAGCUGGCCUACUUGAUCAGCGAUGCUAUGGACAUUUCUAGAGCAACACCCCUGAGCGUAGAGCUUGACAAUACUGCGCGAGAGUAUGGCUUGACAGUCACAAAUGUCUACAAACGGGGUCCCUCAGACCAUACCAGAUCAAGCAUGUCAUGUGAAGUUUACCUGGAUAACAUCUUCGUUGCUGAUGGUGAAGGCUUCAGAAGAUUAGAGGCUGAGGAAACUGCGUAUAAGAACACCUUGAAGGCCCUGUGCACCAGCUCAUCUGAUGUUCUUUUCGCUGACUCCAAACGAUUGGUUCACUCAGAAUUGAUGAAUAUGCCAUUGGUAUCUGAGGUGUGGAUCAAAGGGUUCUACAAGAUGAUGCACUGGUCAAAUUGGUCCAAAGUAAGAAACCUGAAGAAGGCCAUCCUUGUCAAGGGGGAUCCAGACUACACAGAGAUGAAGAGGCCCAACAAAGACAUCAUUCUCUUUGAGAAUCAGAAAUCAGGAUUUGACCGAUUUGGAAGGGCAUAUGACAUUUUGCAGCUUAGUGCUACCAAUAACUUCAUGCUUCUCCAAGGAAAAACCACAAACUAUGGUGACUUGUACAGAUGUCAGCUGUUCUUACAGGGUGAACUGAUGUCUGAAGCUGUCUCCAUGCACAAUCUUGAUGCUACCAACCGUGCUUCUGUUAAGCUGCUUUUCAAGUUGUACUUGACUCAGACGACUAUCAAGCAAGAGUUACACCCCUUGGUUUCUCACUGGAAGUGAACAGUCAAGAUCGAAGACGUACAUGUACAAUAAUUCCUACAUGAUAAACCUCGGAGAAAGGCCGACCCCCACCCAAUGAACAACAAAGACAACAUACAGAUCGUCCCCCUAGAUCAACCAUCCAUUUGGCACACCUUUGAGUCCAUCAAGGCUUUAGCUGACAAGAUGAAAGCAGAGAGUGGGGACACUGGCACAGAUGACAUCGUCUAUGU